UACAUCUAAGCAAAAGGUGGAACUCGCUACUUUCAUAUUCAAGGGAGUUGUUGAGAACUGGUGGCGACUUAAGGAAGGUUCUCUUAAAGCCCUAAUUUUAUGGGAAACCUUUGUGGCAGUCUUCCACCACAAGUAGUUCCCCGAUUACAUCAAGUAACAAAAGCUAAUGAAGUUCAUAGAGCUAAAUCAAGAAAGCAUGGUGGUAACAGUGUAGCGCCCGGACCGAGGAGAAA
rnacentral:lncRNA from 1 species